GCCCAGACUCCUACGGGAGGCAGCAGUGAGGAAUAUUGGUCAAUGGGCGCAGGCCUGAACCAGCCAAGUCGCGUGAGGGAAGACUGCCCUAUGGGUUGUAAACCUCUUUUAUAAGGGAAGAAUAAUGACUACGUGUAGUCAGAUGCCCGUACCUUAUGAAUAAGCAUCGGCUAACUCCGUGCCAGCAGCCGCGGUAAUACGGAGGAUGCGAGCGUUAUCCGGAUUUAUUGGGUGUAAAGGGAGCGUAGACGGCCAAGCAAGCCAGGGGUGAAAGCCCGGGGCCCAACCCCGGGACUGCCCUUGGAACUGCUUGGCUGGAGUGCGGGAGGGGCAGGCGGAAUUCCUGGUGUAGCGGUGAAAUGCGUAGAUAUCAGGAGGAACACCGGUGGCGAAGGCGGCCUGCUGGACUGCAACUGACGUUGAGGCCCGAAAGCGUGGGGAGCAAACAGGAUUAGAUACCCGAGUA
rnacentral:rRNA from 1 species